AUGGCUCACAAUAAUCCCCACUAUAUGACGCCCUCUACUGGUCGCUCUCAUUAUUGGCCAACGGCUCAGCACUACAGCAGUGACACUAAUGAACUUGCUAAAUAUUUAUUAAAGAGCCAGUUGUUGGUGUCUGAGCUUGAUAAGUUUGACGACAAACCAGAAAAUUAUUUAUCCUGGAAAUCAUCAUUCAUUAGUGCCACAGAGCACCUCGAUCUAAAAGUUGGAGAAGAAAUUGACCUCCUGAUAAAAUCGCUGGGCCCAGAAUCCGCAAGACAUGCACGACGCAUUAAAGCAGUAAACAUAAGCAAGUCAGCCGUUGCCCUAAGGCUCAUUUGGGAACGGCUAGAAGAGACAUAUGGUUCACCAGAAGCCAUAGAGGGCGCUCUUUUUGCUAAGCUUGACCAGUUCCCCAAAAUUGGGCCAAGAGAUAAUAUUAAACUGAGGGAACUCAGCGAUCUAUUGUUGGAAAUAAAUUCAGCAAAGGAGGAAGGAUAUCUAAAUGGACUGUCUUAUCUUGACACAGCUCGAGGCAUUGGUCCAAUCGUGGAAAAGCUGCCGUAUGGACUACAAGACAGAUGGAUGAUGGAAGGUUCGCGUUACAAACAGGAAAAUGAAGUGGGAUUUCCUCCAUUUACAGUAUUUAUACAGUUUAUUCAAACACAAGCAAAGGCACGUAAUGACCCAAGCUUCAAUAUCCAGUCACUAUCCAUCGGCGGGAUGAAAAAAGGCAGGCUUGUCGAGAACCAGAGUAAUAAUCGCCGAACAGUCUCAGUGCACAAAACAAACAUAACAUCUUCACCCGCGAGCGAACCAGACAAAUGGUGUCCCGUGCAUAACAAACCACACGCACUACUGCAAUGCAGAGGCUUUAAAGAGAAAACACUUGAUGAAAAAAGGAGACUAUUGAAACAACACAAUGUAUGCUACAAGUGCUGUGCAUCUAACAAACACGUGGCACGUAACUGUGAAGCGGCAGUUAAAUGUUCUGAGUGUCAAUCUGAUAAGCACCCCACUGUUAUGCACUCAGAUGCACCUUACCGGCCUACCCAGUCCGUAGCUCCGGCAGAUUAUGGCGGGGGGGAAGAAGAUGGGAAGGAGCAAAGAGUGGUUACAAGUUGCACUGAGGUAUGUGAGGAGGGUUUUACUGGGAAGUCAUGUUCCAAAAUAUGCCUAGUAAAUGUCUACCCAGCUAACGACCGCAGCAAGAGCAAAAGAUUGUACGCCAUGUUGGACGACCAGAGUAACUUAUCAUUAGCCCGCUCAGAGUUUUUUGACAUGUUCAAAGUUAACAGUUCUCCGAUACCAUACACCCUCCAAACCUGUGCUGGCGUGGGGCUCACAGCUGGUCGUAGGGCACUGGGUUAUGUCAUAGAGCCGGUAGAUGGUGCUCCUGCAAUACCACUGCCAAUGUUGAUCGAGUGCAACAUGAUACCAAACAAGAGAGAGGAGAUUCCCACCCCAGCAGCAGCGCAAGGUCAUCCUCACCUUGAACGCAUUGCACAUAAAAUACCGCCAAUAGACGACAAUGCUCAGAUACUGCUACUACUUGGAAGGGACAUUCUACAAGUCCAUAAAGUUCGCAGUCAAAUCAAUGGUCCACACAACGCACCGUACGCGCAGAGAUUGGAUCUAGGCUGGGUGAUAGUUGGAGAUGUGUGCUUGGGCAGCACUCAUAAGCCCUCAAGGGUAACCAGUCUUAAAACUCACGUUCUUGCAAAUGGGAGACCCACCCAUUUUACUCCUUGUGGGAACCACUUCAAUGUCAAGACAGAGUUGAGCCUUCCAGUUAGACCGCCAACUCCAAGUAACACAAAUGUAAAACAAAGUGGGGCCGGUACAGGCUUGGAAGAUGAUGUUUUCUGCCAGACAAAAAAUGACAACAAGCUUGCACCCUCAAUGGAGGAUUUGUCGUUCCUCAAAAUCAUGGAUGAUGAGUUCAAACAAGACGAAAACAAGAGCUGGGUGGCCCCACUACCAUUCCGUCGGCCAAGAAAGAUACUGCCGAACAACCGACAGUAUGCCGUCAGUCGCCUCAAAUCGCUGCAACGCACGCUAAAAAAAAACCCUGAAAUGCAGUCCCACUUCAUAGACUUUAUGCAGAAGAUGCUGGACAAUGGACAUGCUGAGGUUGCACCUCCAGUACAGGAGAACAAAGAGUACUGGUAUCUACCAUUUUUUGGGGUCUACCAUCCGCAGAAACCAUCACAGAUAAGGGUGGUGUUCGACUCCAGUGCACGGUUCGAAGGCAUGUCGCUAAACGAUGUGUUGCUUUCGGGACCUAACCUGAACAACAGUCUGUUGGGUGUAUUAUUGAGAUUUAGAAAGCACCAAGUUGCAAUAACUGCAGACAUCCAGCAGAUGUUUUAUUGCUUUUUGGUACGCGAGGACUGUAGGGAUGUUUUAAGAUUUGUGUGGCACGAAGACAACAAUCCAAAGAAUCAAAUAGUGGACUUCCGAAUGCGCGUCCAUGUCUUCGGCAAUAGCCCCUCCCCUGCAGUAGCCACCUUUGGACUAAGGAGGGCAGCACAACAAGGUGAGGAAAAGUAUGGAGAGGAUGUGCGUCAGUUUGUGGAUAGAGACUUUUAUGUGGAUGAUGCCUUAAAGUCUGUUCCCACUGAAGAGAAUGCCAUUGAUCUAUUAAAAAGAACACAAGACAUGCUUGCCGAAUCAAACCUUAGGCUUCUCAAGAUGGCUUCCAACAAAGUUAAAGUGAUGGAUGCUUUUCCAGUAAAAGACCGAGCCAAAGAUCUCCAGGAUCUCGACCUGUCCGAGGACGACCUUCCCGAUCAACGGAGCCUUGGUGUUAAGUGGAAUAUUAUGUCAGAUGAAUUCACCUUUCAUAUUCCCCAAACAGAUAAACCGUACACACGCAGAGGGGUCCUGUCAACAGUAAAUGGUGUAUUUGACCCGCUUGGUUUCUUGUCCCCAGUUAUCAUCCAAGGGCGUCUCCUCUUGAGGGAACUUUCACCAUACGUGACAGAAUGGGAUUCAGCCCUGCCUGAAAGCAUGAGAGGGAAAUGGACAGAAUGGCAGCAGUCUCUACAAUGCCUCAGUGAUCUACAUAUCCCACGUACGUACUCCAACAUCUCCCUCUCUCAAGCUAAAAUUGUUGAACUGUGCAUCUUUUCAGAUGCAUCACUGAAAGCAAUAUGUGCUGUUGCCUAUCUCAAAGUUACCGAUGCUGAUGAUGCCGUAGAAGUUGGCUUUGUUCUAGGAAAAGCGCGGCUUGCUCCCCAGCCGGAGCUUACAGUCCCCAGGCUUGAACUCUGCGCAGCAGUAAUGGCUGUGGAAAUGGCAGAAGUGAUAAGUGAGGAGACUGACCAUCAGAUCGACAAAAUCAGCUUCUACACAGAUAGCAAAGUAGUUUUGGGUUAUAUCAGCAACCAGUCAAGACGCUUCUACGUUUAUGUAAGCAACCGUGUCAGACGCAUCAGAGAGUCAACAACACCAGAGCAAUGGCAUUUCGUUCCAACGGAUAAAAACCCUGCUGACCAUGGCUCACGAUCUGUUCCAGCCUCAGAGUUACAAAACACAAUAUGGCUUACAGGGCCAGCCUUCCUGAAGUGCUCUUCAGACAUCCAGCCGCAACCACAUAAGUAUGAGCUUAUGGAUCCAGAUGGUGAUGCAGAGGUACGUCCACAGGUAGAAACAUUCUACACAUGUAGCUCAAAAACUGUGCUGGACACAAAACGCUGGGAACGGUUUUCCUCAUGGAAAUCCUUGAUUAGAACUGUUGCAAACCUGAUUCACAUAGCGGACUGCUUCUCCCUCCAAAAAACAAAAAAAGACUGUACUGGAUGGCAUAUGUGCAGCACAGCCAUCACCUGCGAACUGAUGGGAAAAGCUGAAAACACAAUUAUCAAAAAUGUUCAGCAAGAAACAUACACAGAGGAAAUCAAGUGCAUUGGUAAAAAACAAANAUUAGAACUGUUGCAAACCUGA
ensembl:lncRNA